rnacentral:rRNA from 1 species
UACGUAGGGGGCAAGCGUUGUCCGGAAUCAUUGGGCGUAAAGAGCGUGUAGGCGGCCCGAUAAGUCCGCUGUGAAAGUCCAGGGCUCAACCCUGGAAUGCCGGUGGAAACUGUCGGGCUGGAGUCCGGAAGAGGCGAGUGGAAUUCCUGGUGUAGCGGUGAAAUGCGCAGAUAUCAGGAGGAACACCAAUGGCGAAGGCAGCUCGCUGGGACGGUACUGACGCUGAGACGCGAAAGCGUGGGGAGCAAACAGG